rnacentral:rRNA from 1 species
UUUAUUGAGAGUUUGAUCCUGGCUCAGGACGAACGCUGGCGGCGUGCCUAAUACAUGCAAGUCG